GUGCUCGCUUCGGCAGCGUACAUACGAAAACUGGAAUGAUACCGAGAAGGUUAGCGUGGCCCCUGUGCAGGGAUGACUCGCAAAUUCAUGAAGCGUUCCAUAUUUUU